AUAUCCUAACUUUUCGUUUGUGGAAAACUUGUUGUUUUCACACUUUCACAAUUUUUUAUUCUCUUUAAUUUCAAGGCAUUACUUAUACAGACUUAUUUGUGUCAAAUUGAAAAAGUCUAGUAUACUUGUAGCUGCUCUUCUGGUUGCAUUGAGAGACAAUCCAAAAGUUCUUUGUUCUUGAAUUAGUUUUAUGUUCAUGGCUUGCUGCUUUAGUGCAAGGGUCAAAGUUGAAAAUCCUACACAUAAUGGUUUGAAUUCAGAGGUUGUUGGAAGAGAAGAGGUUGUUUCGGGUGGUUUGAGCAACAAGGUAUCCUCUUCAACUGUUCUGCUAACUUCAAGGACUGAGGGUGAGAUAUUACAAUCCAACAAUUUGAAGUGUUUCACAUUCAAUGAGGUAAAAACUGCGACAAGAAACUUUCAUCCAAGUGGUGAACUCGAUGAACGUGGAUUUGGUAGGGUAUUCAAGGGGUGGAUCGAUGAGCACAUGCAAGCUCCUACGAAACCAGGUACUGGUUUUGUUGUUGCUGUGAUGAUGUUUAACAAUGAAAGCAACCAGGAACAUAGUGAAUGGUUGGCAAAAAUCAAUUACCUUGGGCAGCUGCGUCAUCCUAAUCUCGUGAAACUGAUUGGUUACUGCUUAGAGGGUUCCUAUCGGAUUUUAGUAUAUGAAUUUGUGACCAAAGGAAAUUUGGAUAAUCAUUUGUUUAGAAGCUUUUCUAACUUUCUACCACUCACUUGGAAAAUUCGUAUGAAGAUAGCUCUUGAUGCUGCCAAGGGUCUUGCAUUUCUACACAGUGAUAAAGUGGGAAAGAUACAUGGAGACUUCAAAACUUCGAAAAUCUUGAUUGGUUCAAACUACAAUGCAAAACUAUUAUUUCUUGGGUUUUUAAAAGUUAGAUCAGAUAGUAAUAUGCCCGACUACGAUGUGGUGGAUAUGGGCCCUCAAAUUAACGCGACACCUGAGUAUAUAGACACAGGUCACCUAACUAAAGAGAGUGAUUUAUACAAUUUUGGGGUUGUUCUCUUGGAAAUUAUGUCAGGCAAACAUGCAUUAGAUAACAACAGGCCAUUUUUGGAUCGUAAUUUUUGGAUCGUAUAGAAGGACAAUACUCAUCGAGUGAAGCAAUGAAAUUAGCUCACAAGUUUUGUUAACAAGACCCAAGUAGGAUCAAAUUGAUAAGUUUUAAAGUUAAGGGAACCAAAAAAGUAUUUAGGUCUUAAAAAAAAUCCAUGUUUAUUCUUUUGUGCAAGAAAGAAAAUAGUAACUUGAGAACAAAAGAGAAAAAAGUCCAAAAAGUUUCCGUUUUAGUUCUUUCAAAAAAUUUCUUUAAUUAUUGGUCCUCUAAACACUCUAAUAUCAAUUUUAGUCUCUGCUUUCUUGUAAAAGUUCACGUUAUGUGUUUCAACUUUCAAACGACUUUUUUUUAUGACAUAUAGUUUAAAAAAGCAUAAAGUUUCACUAGUUUAAUAAUCUAAUUAUUCAAUCUUAAAAUUUAACUAUUUAAUUCAAAACAGGGGUAAAAAUGCAUUUAAAUUUUUUUAAUGACAAAUAUUAAUAAUUAGUUGUUAGGUUUUUUUUUUCUCAUUUAUCCAAGUUUAAACCAUGACCUCCAAUAUUUUAUCCCUUAACUUUAACCAAUUGAGAUACAAUCCUGAAAAAUAUAUUCAAACUAAAAAUAAUAACAUGAUUAAGUUCAAACGACGCACCUCCAGCUUAAUUUUUAUACGAUAUUUGUUUGUUUUUAGUCCUGUAUUUAACAAAAAAAUAGCGUGGCCAUAAUUUCUUAUCCGUCUGAGUCAAAGAAAUAAUAAUUUCUUAUCUAUCUUCUAUGAAAGAUUAAUUAAAAACACACAUAAUUAGUUUAUUAUUUUAUAAUAAAGGUAAAAUACAUAUUUAACUACUAUGGUUUUGUUGUGGCUCUAUUCUUUCUUUCAACUUGAUCAUAAAAAAAACCGAUUAGAGCAGCAGCCAGGACACUGAAAAUUAACAAGAGACAAGAAGAGGUCCAAUCCAAGAGUUCUUUGUUCUUGAAUUAGUUUUAUGUUCAUGGCUUGCUGCUUUAGAGGAAGGGUCAAAGUUGAGAGUCCUACACAUAAUGGUAUCAUUAAUGUUAUUCUAUUUUCCCCCCUUCUAUUUUUUAAUUUUCGAAAUAUUUACCCUAAAAUAAAACUUGAGAAAUAUUUAGUUUAGCAGGUAUUUUUUUUGUGUUAACCCUAGGAAUCAAACUCAGAUCCGAACAAUUCGUCUUUUGGUGGAAUUCUUGUUUAGCUUGUAUCUGAGCUUUUUUUUUUAAAUAAAAUGAUUUUGAUCUCAAAUUGCUCAAAGUUCUUUUUUUUUAAUACACCAAAAAGAUUAAUGGUAUUGACACUAUUGGUAGAAAAAUAGUUGGCAGAAUAUGGCAUAAAAGUUAGUUCAUUUUUCUAUUAUGAUAUGGUUGAAUUCAAAGGUUGUUGGAAGGGAAGAGGAUGUUUUGAGUGGUUUAAGCAACAAGGCAUCCUCUUCAUCUGUGCUUCUAACUUCAAAGACUGAGGGUGAGAUAUUACAAUGCAACAAUUUGAAGUGUUUCACAUUCAAUGAGCUAAAAACUGCUACGACGUACUUUCAUCCAAGCGGUCAAGUGGAUGAACGUGGGUUUGGUAGUGUCUUUAAGGGGUGGAUCGAUGAGCACACGCUAGCUCCUACUAAACAAGGUACUGGUUAUGUUGUUGCUGUUAAGAUGUUUAUCAAAGAAAGCAGCCAACUGGGACAGAAUGAAUGGUUGAAAUCAAUUAUCUUGGGCAGCUGCAUCAUCCUAAUCUCGUGAAACUGAUUGGUUACUGAUUAGAGGAUAGCUACCGAAUUUUUGUGUACGAAUUUUUGGCCGAGGGAAGUUUGGAUAAUCAUUUGUUUA